CAGCAAUAGCUCAAAUUUGAAAUCUGGCGUCUUCGACGUCCGAGUUGUAAUUUGUAGAGGAUGCUUCUGAGUGGCCACCGACCUAAGUUCCUUGGAACAGGACGUCAUAGAGGGUGAGAAUCCCGUAUGCGGUCGGAAAGGCGCUCUAUACGUAGCUCCUUCGACGAGUCGAGUUGUUUGGGAAUGCAGCUCUAAAUGGGAGGUAAAUUUCUUCUAAAGCUAAAUAUUGGCCAGAGACCGAUAGCGCACAAGUAGAGUGAUCGAAAGAUGAAAAGCACUUUGGAAAGAGAGUUAAAAAGCACGUGAAAUUGUUAAAAGGGAAGGGAUUGCAACCAGACUUGCUCGCGGUGUUCCGCCGGUCUUCUGACCGGUCUACUCGCCGCGUUGCAGGCCAGCAUCGUCUGGUGCCGCUGGAUAAGACUUGAGGAAUGUAGCUCCCUCGGGAGUGUUAUAGCCUCUUGUGAUGCAGCGAGCGCCGGGCGAGGUCCGCGCUUCGGCUAGGAUGCUGGCGUAAUGGUCGUAAUCCGCCCGUCUUGAAACACGGACCAAGGAGUCUAACAUCUAUGCGAGUGUUCGGGUGUCAAACCCCUACGCGUAAUGAAAGUGAACGGAGGUGAGAACCGCAAGGUGCAUCAUCGACCGAUCCUGAUGUCUUCGGAUGGAUUUGAGUAAGAGCAUAGCUGUUGGGACCCGAAAGAUGGUGAACUAUGCCUGAAUAGGGUGAAGCCAGAGGAAACUCUGGUGGAGGCUCGCAGCGGUUCUGACGUGCAAAUCGAUC
rnacentral:rRNA from 1 species